AACGAACGCUGGCGGCAGGCCUAACACAUGCAAGUCGAACGGUUGUAGCAAUACAGCAGUGGCGCACGGGUGAGUAACACGUGGGAACGUGCCUUUCAGUCUGGAAUAACAGCGGGAAACUGCUGCUAAUACCGGAUAUUCUCUACGGAGGAAAGAUGUAUCGCUGAAAGAUCGGCCCGCGUUAGAUUAGGUAGUUGGUAGGGUAAUGGACUACCAAGCCUACGAUCUAUAGCUGGUCUGAGAGGAUGAUCAGCCACACUGGAACUGAGACACGGUCCAGACUCCUACGGGAGGCAGCAGUGGGGAAUAUUGGACAAUGGGGGAAACCCUGAUCCAGCCAUGCCGCGUGAGUGACGAAGGCCUUAUGGUUGUAAAGCUCUUUUAUCAGGGACGAUGAUGACGGUACCUGAAGAAUAAGACACGGCUAACUUCGUGCCAGCCGCCGCCGUAA
rnacentral:rRNA from 1 species